rnacentral:rRNA from 1 species
GGCAACCCUGACGGAGCAACGCCGCGUGUGGGAGGACGGCCUUCGGGUUGUAAACCACUUUUCUCAGGGAAGAAGGACUGACGGUACCUGAGGAAUAAGCCUCGGCUAACUCCGUGCCAGCAGCCGCAGUAAGACGGAGGAGGCAAGCGUUAUCCGGAAUUAUUGGGCGUAAAGCGUCCGCAGGCGGUUAUUUAAGUCUGCUGUUGAAGCCCACAGCUCAACUGUGGAUCGGCAGUGGAAACUGAAUAACUUGAGAGCGGUAGGGGUAGAGGGAAUUCCCGGUGUAGCGGUGAAAUGCGUAGAUAUCGGGAAGAACACCAGUGGCGAAGGCGCUCUACUGGGCCGCGACUGACGCUGAGGGACGAAAGCUAGGGGAGCG